GACGAACGCUGGCGGCGUGCCUAAUACAUGCCAGUAGAACGCUGAAGCGAGGAGCUUGCUCUUCUUGGAUGAGUUGCGAACGGGUGAGUAACGCGUAGGUAACCUGCCUUGUAGCGGGGGAUAACUAUUGGAAACGAUAGCUAAUACCGCAUAACAAUGGAUGACACAUGUCAUUUAUUUGAAAGGGGCAAUUGCUCCACUACAAGAUGGACCUGCGUUGUAUUAGCUAGUAGGUGAGGUAAUGGCUCACCUAGGCGACGAUACAUAGCCGACCUGAGAGGGUGAUCGGCCACACUGGGACUGGGACACGGCCCAGACUCCUACAGGAGGCAGCAGUAGGGAAUCUUCGGCAAUGGGGGCAACCCUGACCGAGCAACGCCGCGUGAGUGAAGAAGGUUUUCGGAUCGUAAAGUUCUGUUGUAAGUCAAGAACGGGUGUGAGAGUGGAAAGUUCACACUGUGACGGUAGCUUACCAGAAAGGGACGGCUAACUACGUG
rnacentral:rRNA from 1 species